rnacentral:misc_RNA from 1 species
UGAAACGAUUCCACUUUUUCUCUCUUUAUCAUCUACCUCAUUUUUUUCUUUCUUCCUUUAGAUUAACUUUAUCUCUCAAUAAUCUACCUCAUUCACUUUCUUCUCCAAUUCUGAGACCAGUAAAACGCUGGCGUAGAGAAUUUUUUCCCUGACAAACCAAUUGUGAGUUUGAGCAACGAGAAUUGAGGUCGUGCUCGAUACCAAGUCAUUUACAAGUGUUUAAUUGAGUAUAGUGAAGCCACAGCACGUGCUUUACUAAACGACGUGGUCAAUCUCGGAUUAGAUUGAAUUUCGUAUAGUAAACGAUGAUGAGCAAUAUCGUAGACGUGACCACGUUUGAUACAGCAUUCACCAAUCAAGAUGUUUAUAUCUGUUGCUUUUAUCGAUGAUGGAGGACACAAGGUCGUGGACUGCAACUGCUACUCCAGUUCGAGGUCGAGUAUCACGAGAAUCCCAAAAUAAUACCUGGAGUAGUCGUGGCUCUUCUUCAAGACGGCAACGUGGCUCAUCUGGACGUGAGUGGCAAGAGGGCAAUAGCUAUAGAAGAAGAAGAAAAAAACGAAAAUCAUUGGGUGAAAAAAUUGCCGAUUGGUUUCGUGCAUUUAUAGCUUUUCUUUUUAGCAAUGUUGGCAUCGUUUGUCUUGUUGUCGGAUAUACCAUUGCAGGUGCGUUUAUAUUUGAAGCUAUUGAGGGUACGCACAAUCGUAAAACUGGAAUUAUACAUAACGUACCAUCAUCGAGAAAUGAAACUGCUAUUCAAUUGUGGAAAUUAACGACCAAGGAAAAUGUCUUUUCGGAAUUAACAUGGAAGUCCAAAGUCGAUACAAUUCUACAGGGAUAUCAAGAUAUUGUCAUUCAGGCUGGAAAAAAUGGAUGGGAUGGUACGGAUUCGAAAGAAGAUCGAAAGUGGAGUUUUGCUGGGGCUUUCUUGUACUCUUUAACAGUCAUUACAACAAUUGGUUAUGGCAAUACGUGCCCCAGAACCAUGUGGGGCAAGGUAAUUACAAUUGGCUACGCCAUUGCCGGAAUGCCCCUGUUUCUCUUGUACCUGAGCAACAUUGGUGAUAUUCUCGCGAAAAGCUUUAAGUGGACUUACGCCCGUUGCUGUCUAUGCAGAUGUCGAAAGAGGCCACGUAUGCCACGAAACCGGACUACUGGUUCCAGAUCAUCAAGUCAACCUUGCCAGAAAAACACCUGGCAAAUGGUCAGAAUGCAACCAGGCCACGUUGACACCGUUAGUUUAGACAAUGAGAUCGACUCUGUGUCAAAGACAGCAAGUGGUGAUGGAGAUGAAGACGAGGACGAUGAUGAUGACGAUGAAGAUGAUGGUGAAACUAGCAGUCAUUAUGAUCCUCAGCAAAUUACUGUCCCAUUAACUUUAUGUCUCAGCAUCAUGGUUGGGUACAUUUGUGGUGGGGCAUUUCUAUUUUCUGAAUGGGAAGACUGGGAUUUCCUUGAUGGCUCGUACUUUUGUUUUAUCUCUUUGUCAACAAUUGGCUUUGGAGAUAUUGUUCCAGGCGAUGAAAUUUACUCAAAAGAAGGCAUUCAACUUUCCUUUAUCUUUUGCUCGAUGUAUCUUAUGCUAGGUAUGGCUCUAAUAGCUAUGUGUUUCAAUUUGAUGCAGGAAGAGGUAAUAGCAAAAAUACGUUCGUUCACGCGAUCAGUAAAGCACGUUCUCAGGUGUGACAGAUAAACUUGGAAAAGUUUAAAUGAAUGUACGAGUGAUAAAUGGCGAGUUCAAUAUGACCUGACACUCGUAAAUAGUAUGAUUGAGGAAGACAUCUGGUACUGGCUGAUCUCCAAUACAAACAAUUUAAAAGCAAUACGUUUGGAUAUCUUUAUCUCUUUAUCAUUGAUAAUUUCCUGAUAUUUCAUAUACUACCGGAUAACAUGGAUCCUAAAUUCUGGCAUCCGGGUCUACGAACAGUCAUCAUUGAAUCUGAUAUUCUCUUUCCUUUCUACCAGCAUGAAACUGUCUCUCAACUAUUCUGGCAAAGCUCCAAUCUAUUCGUAUGACCUAUCAAGCCAGCAUGUACUCAAGUCGUUAUCGAUGAUUAUAUCACGAUGUACCUGUUUAAUGGAUAAUAUAGUCGUCUCCCACUUCUUUACUUUUCGGUUCCUCUCUAAAGCUGCAUAUAAAAAAGAGCAACAGUGCUACACAAUGGGUAUGCUGAAGGAUCUUUUUGAUAUAUCAACUGUGCGCUCAUGCGUCCUGGUCCACUCAGUUGUCCUAUAUAUCCACCCCCAGCUUCCGUUCAUCAGACUGUCGAUUCUGCGCGGAUUUCUCCAAGCCUCUCUGCUCCAAAGCAUCGUAUCAGACGCUCUCGCGAUUCUCGCGAGCUUCCCUCUUUCAUAUACGAAUAAAUUUAACGUGUCGCAAUUGCUUUUGCACCCUCUGUAGUCAUUUUUUCCAGUGGCCAUGUAGUUCAGUGGCAUCUCUAACAUGACAAGGGCGUUUUCACGCUUACUAUGUGUUACGUGAUGAUCUUAUGUACAUUGUAAAUUUACUGAACGAUCACUUGAUGUGCGUGCUACUAUUUUUAUAAUUUAUUCAAUUAAUGACCUAGCAAGAGACGGUGAAUGAAGAUUUGGCAUGAAGCUUGGAAAUAAUUAGUGGUCAGAAAGUAAUUAUGUUUGAGUAGAGAUAAUUGAAUGAUGAGAAUGAAUGAGAAUUCCUAUGGACAUCAGGACAAUAGAGCAAAGUUAUUUAGACCUCGAUCCGAUGUUGGAUCAGAUAUCAGAGAAAUGUUGGCGCCUGAGACAUCAAGGUGUCCCAACUGGUUAUUACUUUACAUAUUAUCAUCACUGUGGACAUCUGAUGUGGCAACAUUACAACAGCCGUGAUAAUAAGAAUAUAAAAAUAAAGGGAAAUAGAUUUAGU